GCUGCAGAUACCAGGCACCACAGCCUGGGAGAAUCCCCAAGUACAGUAAAGUAAGUAAAAUGUGGAUACUUCAGAUUGAGGUGUUAAGUUUACCCUUAAUAACAUAAAAGGGAUGUUGUGCCAAAACUGAGGUGAUUUAAAGUUAGUUUUAUUUUUUGAAAUCAGAAUAUAGACUUCCGCAAGCCUGGAAGUUGUCUUGGACAAGACAUGCACUUGUACGAUCUCCUCUCUGCCCUUCUUUGCAGCCUGUGGUGAGCAGAAAACGAUUGUGGUAGAAAGGCUCAGCUCAAAAAAUUACACUGGGGGAAGAAAUGAUGGAUGGAGUUUGCCCCAGUGCCUACCAGACUUGACUGCUGGUGCCCUGGAUGAGGUUCCCAGCACACACAAAAAGAGUUCAAUUAAAAAAAAAAAAGAGUUCAAUAGAUGUGUAUUGAGGAUGGAGAGACUUACUGCCCUGGGUCAGCCAUGGAGUCAGAUCCCACGGUUGGUGGAGCAGUGACUGUGUCACUUGAAAAUAAUGAAUGUGCUUCUGGUUAAUUUUCCUGGUGGCAAGUGAGUUCUGGUCUAGGGAAUAAAGGGAAUCUUGGAGUGGGGGAGAGAAGGACAUCCUUUCUCUCUGGAGCUGGGGGAGAUGGGUCUGGGAGUCACAUGGGAAUGCAUUUGAGGUGCUCCUGGUAGGGGAGCACAGCAGAGUGAGUCAGUGUUGGCAAAUGAAUAUAAGUUGGAAGAGUAAAGGAAUUGGUUUCUUAAAAAGUUUUCCAGUUUGGAUGAGGACCUGUGGGCUCAAGAUUGGUAGUUAGUCUUUUGUUAUUUCUCACAGUGAUAUUUGUUGAAGCAUUAUUUGUAAUAACAACACACACAGACAUAGAUACCAAUAGAGAGAAGAAAAGCUAAAUGAAAUAUAGAAUAUUUAUACUACAGAAUAACAUACAUCAGUUAAAAACAAUGAGGUAGAGCUACAUUUAGGUCCUAUGGAGCUGGAUGUUGUGAUCUCUGAGACUCAUGUGACAAAACAAGUCAGAGCACAGUAUGUAUUACUCAUAAACAAAAUACCUUUUUGCAUUUAUAUAUUUUUAACAUAUAAAUGCAUAGAAAAUAUGCUGAAGAAUUUAAUGUAGCCGUUAAUAGCGAUUACCUCCGGGAGGAGUGUGUUUAGAGAAGAAGGGAGGGAACUUCUUUCUUUUACUCAAUCUAGUUGUAUUUAUUGAAAUCUUUUUUUUUAUUGAAAUGUUUUAAUUGGCGAUUUAUUCAUAGUACACAUAUAAUUAAAGUAAAAGGGAAAAAGAGAGACAUUACCGAAUUUUGUAGUUUCAUGCUGAUGAGAC
rnacentral:lncRNA from 1 species